GUCUCCGUGGUUAAGUGGGUAUUACACUAGACUUGCACGCCGGAGGUCCCGAGUUCGAUUCCCGGCGGGGUCG
rnacentral:tRNA from 1 species